GACGAACGCUGGCGGCGUGCCUAAUACAUGCAAGUAGAACGCUGAAGCUUGGUGCUUGCACCGAGCGGAUGAGUUGCGAACGGGUGAGUAACGCGUAGGUAACCUGCCUGGUAGCGGGGGAUAACUAUUGGAAACGAUAGCUAAUACCGCAUAAGAGUAGAUGUUGCAUGACAUUUGCUUAAAAGGUGCAAUUGCAUCACUACCAGAUGGACCUGCGUUGUAUUAGCUAGUUGGUGAGGUAACGGCUCACCAAGGCAACGAUACAUAGCCGACCUGAGAGGGUGAUCGGCCACACUGGGACUGAGACACAGCCCAGACUCCUACGGGAGGCAGCAGUAGGGAAUCUUCGGCAAUGGACGGAAGUCUGACCGAGCAACGCCGCGUGAGUGAAGAAGGUUUUCGGAUCGUAAAGCUCUGUUGUAAGAGAAGAACGAGUGUGAGAGUGGAAAGUUCACACUGUGACGGUAUCUUACCAGAAAGGGACGGCUAACUACGUG
rnacentral:rRNA from 1 species